GGCGAACGCUGGCGGCAUGCCUAACACAUGCAAGUCGAACGAAGGCUUCGGCCUUAGUGGCGCACGGGUGCGUAACGCGUGGGAAUCUGCCCUUAGGUUCGGAAUAACAGUUAGAAAUGACUGCUAAUACCGGAUGAUGACGUAAGUCCAAAGAUUUAUCGCCUGAGGAUGAGCCCGCGUAGGAUUAGCUAGUUGGUGUGGUAAAGGCGCACCAAGGCGACGAUCCUUAGCUGGUCUGAGAGGAUGAUCAGCCACACUGGGACUGAGACACGGCCCAGACUCCUACGGGAGGCAGCAGUGGGGAAUAUUGGACAAUGGGCGCAAGCCUGAUCCAGCAAUGCCGCGUGAGUGAUGAAGGCCUUAGGGUUGUAAAGCUCUUUUACCCGUGAUGAUAAUGACAGUAGCGGGAGAAUAAGCCCCGGCUAACUCCGUG
rnacentral:rRNA from 1 species